rnacentral:rRNA from 1 species
UACGAAGGGGGGCUAGCGUUGCUCGGAAUGACUGGGCGUAAAGGGCGCGUAGGCGGAUGACACAGUCAGGCGUGAAAUUCCUGGGCUCAACCUGGGGGGCUGCGUUUGAUACAUGUUGUCUGGAGUUCGGAAGAGGGUCGUGGAAUUCCCAGUGUAGAGGUGAAAUUCGUAGAUAUUGGGAAGAACACCGGUGGCGAAGGCGGCGACCUGGUCCGAUACUGACGCUGAGGCGCGAAAGCGUGGGGAGCAAACAGG